UACAGAGGGUGCAAGCGUUAAUCGGAGUUACUGGGCGUAAAGGGCGCGUAGGCGGUCAUGUAAGUGAGAUGUGAAAUCCCUGGGCUUAACCUAGGAACUGCAUCUCAUACUGCGUGACUGGAGUAUUGUAGAGGGUAGUGGAAUUUCCGGUGUAGCGGUGAAAUGCGUAGAGAUCGGAAGGAACACCAGUGGCGAAGGCGGCUACCUGGACAAAUACUGACGCUGAGGCGCGAGAGCGUGGGGAGCAAACAGG
rnacentral:rRNA from 1 species